rnacentral:tRNA from 1 species
ACUAUUUUGGCAGAUUUAAGUGUGAUGAUUUUAGAAAUCAUGAAUAUAUGUAUUUAUUACAUGUAAUUAGUA